ACUCUGCAGGCGUGGCAGACAGGCACAAAGUCUGCAUGGUCACACAGAGACACCUGAGUAAAGCCCAGUGCAGGGAAUUAAAUGCACAAGAGUGUUGAGGGAAAAGAAGAGCAAGGACCAAUAGACAGAGUUGGAAGCUUGGUAUUCUUCCUGCCAGGAAAGAUUAAAUGAGAUGUUGAAUUAUCACAAGUGAAACCUGAUUUUGCCAGGAAUCACCUCUCUGCUUCAAGG